rnacentral:rRNA from 1 species
CUUGGUCAUUUAGAGGAAGUAAAAGUCGUAACAAGGUCUCCGUUGGUGAACCGGCGGAGGGAUCAUUACCGAGUUUACAACUCCCAAACCCAAUGUGAACCAUACCAAACUGUUGCCUCGGCGGGGUCACGCCCCGGGUGCGUCGCAGCCCCGGAACCAGGCGCCCGCCGGAGGGACCAACCAAACUCUUUUCUGUAGUCCCCUCGCGGACGUUAUUUCUUACAGCUCUGAGCAAAAAUUCAAAAUGAAUCAAAACUUUCAACAACGGAUCUCUUGGUUCUGGCAUCGAUGAAGAACGCAGCGAAAUGCGAUAAGUAAUGUGAAUUGCAGAAUUCAGUGAAUCAUCGAAUCUUUGAACGCACAUUGCGCCCGCCAGUAUUCUGGCGGGCAUGCCUGUCCGAGCGUCAUUUCAACCCUCGAACCCCUCCGGGGGGUCGGCGUUGGGGACCUCGGGAGCCCCUAAGACGGGAUCCCGGCCCCGAAAUACAGUGGCGGUCUCGCCGCAGCCUCUCCUGCGCAGUAGUUUGCACAACUCGCACCGGGAGCGCGGCGCGUCCACGUCCGUAAAACACCCAACUUCUGAAAUGUUGACCUCGGAUCAGGUAGGAAUACCCGCUGAACUUAAGCAUAUCAAUAAGCGGAGGA